rnacentral:rRNA from 1 species
UCCAGAGCUUGCUCUGGUGAGAGUGGCGCACGGGUGAGUAACGCGUGGAUAACCUGCCCUGGUAUCCGGAAUAACAUCUCGAAAGGGGUGCUAAUACCGGAUAAGCCCACGGGGUCUUCGGACUCUGCGGGAAAAGGUGGCCUCUGAAUAUGCUACCGUAUCAGGAUGGGUCCGCGUACCAUUAGCUAGUUGGUAGGGUAAUGGCCUACCAAGGCUACGAUGGUUAGCUGGUCUGAGAGGAUGAUCAGCCACACUGGAACUGAGACACGGUCCAGACUCCUACGGGAGGCAGCAGUGGGGAAUUUUGCGCAAUGGGGGAAACCCUGACGCAGCAACGCCGCGUGAGUGAUGAAGGCUUUCGGGUCGUAAAGCUCUGUCAGUAGGGAAGAAGUGUAAGGGUGCUAAUACCAUCUUUACUUGACGGUACCUACAAAGGAAGCACCGGCUAACUCCGUGCCAGCAGCCGCGGUAAUACGGAGGGUGCAAGCGUUGUUCGGAUUUAUUGGGCGUAAAGCGCGUGUAGGCGGUUUCUUAAGUCUGAUGUGAAAGCCCUGGGCUCAACCCAGGAAGUGCAUUGGAUACUGGGAGACUUGAAUACGGGAGAGGGUAGUGGAAUUCCUAGUGUAGGAGUGAAAUCCGUAGAUAUUAGGAGGAACACCGGUGGCGAAGGCGGCUACCUGGACCGAUAUUGACGCUGAGACGCGAAAGCGUGGGGA